ACAAAGUGGAAAUGAGGUCACCU
rnacentral:piRNA from 1 species